CCUGGCUGCGGUGGCGCAUGUCUGUAGUCCCAGCUACUUGGGAGGCUGAGGCUGGAGGAUUGCUUAAGUCCAGGAGUACCGGGCUGUAGUGCGUUAUGCCAAAGUGGGUGUCCCCACUAAGUUCGGCAUCAAUAUGGUGACCUCGCGGAACCACCAGGUUGCCUAAGGAGGGGUGAACCAGCCCAGGUCGGAAACAGAGCAGGUCGAAACUCCCGUGCUGAUCAGUAGUGGGAUCGCGCCUGUGAGUAGCCACUGCACUCCAGCCUGAGCAACAUGGCGAGAUCUCGUCUCU
rnacentral:SRP_RNA from 1 species